CUCUGGGGCUGGGAGGAGGCGGGGCUUCUGGAAAGGGAGGUCAGUUGGACCCACAGCCUUCGCGACUAUGUGGGCCUGAUCCGUUGACCGCAGCCCUUCGCGGGUGCCCCUCUCUGCUUGGAAGCCUUUGAAAGCCAACACAGCCCAGACUGUAGAACUUGUGUUUAGGUUCUGGGCCUGCACACCUGUCCACAAGCGAUUCAAAGCCGAUGGAAGAACUGGCUGUGGUAGUGGCUGUGGGAAAACAUGUCAUGUUGUUGUU